rnacentral:rRNA from 1 species
ACAGGUGCUGCAUGGCUGUCGUCAGCUCGUGUCGUGAGAUGUUGGGUUAAGUCCCGCAACGAGUGCAACCCUUGCCUUUAGUUGCCAGCAGUUCGGCUGGGCACUCUAAAGGGACUGCCGGUGUUAAACCGGAGGAAGGUGGGGAUGACGUCAAGUCCUCAUGGCCUUUAUGACCAGGGCUACACACGUACUACAAUGGCCGAUACAAAGGGCAGCGACACUGCGAGGUGAAGCCAAUCCCGUAAAAUCGGUCUCAGUCCGGAUUGGAGUCUGCAACUCGACUCCAUGAAGUUGGAAUCGCUAGUAAUCGUGGAUCAGCAUGCCACGGUGAAUACGUUCCCGGGCCUU